ACUCCUACGGGAGGCAGCAGUGGGGAAUCUUAGACAAUGGGCGCAAGCCUGAUCUAGCCAUGCCGCGUGAGCGAUAGAAGGCCUUAGGGUUGUAAAGCUCUUUCAGUGGGGAAGAUAAUGACUGUACCCACAGAAGAAGCCCCGGCUAACUCCGUGCCAGCAGCCGCGGUAAU
rnacentral:rRNA from 1 species